UAGCCUAGGUUAAGGCUAUGGAUUGUCAAUCCGGAGACGACGGGAUCGAUUCCCGU
rnacentral:tRNA from 1 species